AUAAAUUGAAAUAAUAGAAAAGAAGAAUUAAUACAGGUAUAUUAAAUUCCAGAUAACAAUUUUCGAAAAAAAAAAAAAAAUAUUGUUGUUUGAUCUUAAAAUUAUUUUGAAAUUAAGAAAAAUUAAAAUAUCGUGGGAUGCAUUCCACAAUCCUUUUAACUUAAAAUAUUAUUGUAGUAAAUCUUUAAUAAUUCUGUAAUACAAUAUGACGUUUUUAAUUUUUCAUCUUAAAAUAAAUAAUUUAGUUACAUAUCGAGGAUCUACUAGGUCGUAGAAUAAUCUUAAUCUUCGCGGUUAAAUGUCAAUGCUCUUUUAAUACGAAAGUGCGCACGCAAUAGUCAAUCAGACAGGAAGUAUACGGAAAUAACGCGGGUAACGCAUGAAUUGCGAAAUUGGUCGUCUGAUAAGGGAUUAAAAACAAGAAAAAGUGAUGUGCGCAAUGGAGCGGAUUUUUCAUUCAUGUUCGAUAGCGAGAACACACUACUGUGUGGCUACUCGCAAACAACCCUGCCUAGUUAUACGAUUAUACAAUUUCAUCUAUUUAAAGUUGAUUGAACGAAGCGCAUCGAUAUACACAACGCGCGAUUGUAACGUGUAAACACGCCGUGUUACAUAAACUGGUAAUCGAAACUCGUAAGCAUUGCGCAAAGUAGAAAUCGCAAAACUCACUUCAGAAAAUAUAUGCUUCUAUCUGUGUUCAUUACAAUAAAUCAAUAUAGAGAUAUCUAAUUGACAAAUAUUGAAAAUAUAAUCGUAUGAUUCGAAUUAUGUGUCAAUUAUUUGAAGAAAGAAUGUGAUAACCUUGAGAUCGUUCACUCAACGUAUACUAUCGGUAACCUUCAGCCACAAACCACGAGGAAUUAUUGUAAUUGUUUGUCAAUACUUUUUCUUCUCUUCUUACAAAAAAUAACUUUGGACAAGAAAUUCGUGAUAUAAUAGGAUAUAAUUAUUAUGUAUA